UAGAACUACUUCAUAUAAGGUCAGUGUUUCGUGUUUACCCUGGCAUGACGUUUUGAUAUCCAUGCAAAUCUCUUUCGGACCAGGUAACGUUUAUCAAUAUAUUUGCCUGUAAUUACCCCACAAAUUGAAAUGCUAAUUAGCCUCCAAUGUGGCUAGCAUACAGAACUACACAUCUUGACGCAAGCUUUGACAUCAUCUCUCAAUGCAAACUCUUCGACAAGUAGCAAGUAUCCUACGAACUAGCUAACCUUAGGGUCUCUCUGUCGAUCGGAAGCAAGGAUGGUUCUGUGCUAUGUACCGGAUUGUAACCACUACUCCGAUAAGCACAUGUGCAUUUUACCGUUUUCCAAGCUCUGUGAGCGAGAGGUGUCGCUGGAGCCAUGUGAUAAGGUCCCUUGCACCUUGCACCAUGCACUUGACCUCCACUACUGCUGUGAUGCCCACCAGACCAUCCACUGAGGCACCCAGGAUCCCAGACCCUGUGACCUAAAGACCUGACUCCUGCAUAUCCAUCCCUGUAGCCAUUUUGAAUUCCUUGAUGUCCUCCUCUUCGUUAUCUGAGCCCCACUUUACAGACAACACCCCAUCCAAUGACUAUGAACACCUUGAAAUGCACUAGAUGUAAGAAAUGUGCCAUAUAAAUAAAGUUUGAUUUGAUUGAUGA